rnacentral:rRNA from 1 species
GAUGAACGCUGGCGGCGUGCCUAACACAUGCAAGUCGAGCGAUUUACUUCGGUAAAGAGCGGCGGACGGGUGAGUAACGCGUGGGUAACCUGCCCUGUACACACGGAUAACAUACCGAAAGGUAUGCUAAUACGGGAUAAUAUGCUUUAGUCGCAUGGCUAUAGUAUUAAAGCUCCGGCGGUACAGGAUGGACCCGCGUCUGAUUAGCUAGUUGGUAAGGUAACGGCUUACCAAGGCGACGAUCAGUAGCCGACCUGAGAGGGUGAUCGGCCACAUUGGAACUGAGACACGGUCCAAACUCCUACGGGAGGCAGCAGUGGGGAAUAUUGCACAAUGGGCGAAAGCCUGAUGCAGCAACGCCGCGUGAGCGAUGAAGGCCUUCGGGUCGUAAAGCUCUGUCCUCAAGGAAGAUAAUGACGGUACUUGAGGAGGAAGCCCCGGCUAACUACGUGCCAGCCGCCGCGGUAA